rnacentral:snRNA from 1 species
AUACUUACCUGGCAAGGGAGACACCGUGAUCACGAAGGCGGUUCACCCAGGGCGAGGCUCAGCCAUUGCACUCCGGCUGUGCUGACCCCUGCAAAUUUCUCAAAUGUGGAAAUAUCGAUUGCAUAAUUUCUGGUAGUGGGGGACUGCGUUCGCGCUCUCCCCUG